AGCGAACGCUGGCGGCAGGCCUAACACAUGCAAGUCGAACGAACUCUUCGGAGUUAGUGGCGGACGGGUGAGUAACACGUGGGAACGUGCCUUUAGGUUCGGAAUAACUCAGGGAAACUUGUGCUAAUACCGAAUAUGCCCUUCGGGGGAAAGAUUUAUCGCCUUUAGAGCGGCCCGCGUCUGAUUAGCUAGUUGGUGAGGUAAAGGCUCACCAAGGCGACGAUCAGUAGCUGGUCUGAGAGGAUGAUCAGCCACAUUGGGACUGAGACACGGCCCAAACUCCUACGGGAGGCAGCAGUGGGGAAUCUUGCGCAAUGGGCGAAAGCCUGACGCAGCCAUGCCGCGUGAAUGAUGAAGGUCUUAGGAUUGUAAAAUUCUUUCACCGGGGACGAUAAUGACGGUACCCGGAGAAGAAGCCCCGGCUAACUUCGUG
rnacentral:rRNA from 1 species